GCUCAGUUGGUAGAGUGUGAGACUCUUGAUCUUGGGGUUGUGGGUUCGAAUCCCAU
rnacentral:tRNA from 1 species